rnacentral:lncRNA from 1 species
CACCUGUUAACAUUAUCUAUGCUCUAUUAUAUUUUUAUUUAGGCUGUUCAUUAUUUCCCAAAUAGAUUUUAACCUGUUUAAGCACUCAAGAAUAUAAGGGCAACAAUAAAAUCCGAAGGCAUAGUAUUUGACUCUGUUCCAGACCUCCCAGAGAAUGGUGACAUUAUUAGGUAGCAACAAAGAAGAAGAUUUCUGAUGGGGAAAGGGAGAUCUUUAAGACCAAACUUAGAGGGAGCCCAAAACUCUUGGUCACAAGUUAAUUUAAUACAAAAUGACUUCUAGUAGUAAGAAAUGUACCAAAGUGCUAGUUGUUUUUUGCAAUGGUAACAAAAAGAAAUUGUAUUUAUUUUUUUGGUCUUUCAUUUCAGGAGGCUUUCGGAGUGGUCUGAGAACCCAGCAAGUGCCAGUUUUGCUAAGCUUGGCUGUCUGGUCCUCUAGGAAGAAAAGAAAAGAAAGGAAAAAGGCUCACUGAACCACUUAAGGAGUAAUCAGCCUAGAUAACAUUUCUCUACUGAGGAACCUGAUAAACAUAUCUUCUUUCAUCUCCUCUUUGUUUCAUUUUUCUGAGGAAGUGGCACCCAUUUAUCUUCAUAAAAAACUUUCCAUACUUUGAUAAUGGAUUUUAUCUCGAGAUAAAAAUGAUUGUUAUUGGGUCCUGAUUGACUGUUGCUAUAAAGGAACAAGAGGGGGAGAAGGACAAAAAGGAACUCAUGAAACCAAAUACUCCAGACUUCACCAAAUCUCUGUCUGUCUGUCUCUUUGUCUUGAUCAUCAAGCACAUUCUCCCUCUCCUCCUUUCCAUGCUCUGUCUCCAUCACUACAGAGAAAGAAAAGAGGGACAUAGAGAAAUGAGAGCUGCAGCGGUAGCUUUCCUUGUUUUGUGAGUUGCCAUGGCCAAAGAACUCAUCACCUUGUGGGCUGCCACCUUUCAACAAGUGUCCCCAUACCUAUCUAGGCCAGUGGAGUGUGUUACCAGAACCAUAUGCUAAACUUCCCAGAAUGAUAGAUUUUUUUUUAAAAUAGCAUUUCAUUUACAUCGUCUUUGAGACUCCGGUCAAUUCCACACCAUGACAAGGAAUCAGCAAUUAUUUAUCAAGCACACAUUUUGUUCCGGGCACUAUCCAAGGUGCUAGUGAUACAAAUGCCAAGGAUAAAACAAUCCUUGCUCAUGAAGUGCUUACAUUCCAAUAGGAAAACACAAGUUAAUGUCUAAAUAAACAAACACACAGUGAAGUAAUGCA